GCCCCCCUCUUGGCUCCCCCCUUUUUAAAUUUUUUUUCUCUGCUCAGGACGAACGCUGGCGGCGUGCCUAAUACAUGCAAGUCGAACGAACUCUGGUAUUGAUUGGUGCUUGCAUCAUGAUUUACAUUUGAGUGAGUGGCGAACUGGUGAGUAACACGUGGGAAACCUGCCCAGAAGCGGGGGAUAACACCUGGAAACAGAUGCUAAUACCGCAUAACAACUUGGACCGCAUGGUCCGAGCUUGAAAGAUGGCUUCGGCUAUCACUUUUGGAUGGUCCCGCGGCGUAUUAGCUAGAUGGUGGGGUAACGGCUCACCAUGGCAAUGAUACGUAGCCGACCUGAGAGGGUAAUCGGCCACAUUGGGACUGAGACACGGCCCAAACUCCUACGGGAGGCAGCAGUAGGGAAUCUUCCACAAUGGACGAAAGUCUGAUGGAGCAACGCCGCGUGAGUGAAGAAGGGUUUCGGCUCGUAAAACUCUGUUGUUAAAGAAGAACAUAUCUGAGAGUAACUGUUCAGGUAUUGACGGUAUUUAACCAGAAAGCCACGGCUAACUACGUGCCAGCAGCCGCGGUAAUACGUAGGUGGCAAGCGUUGUCCGGAUUUAUUGGGCGUAAAGCGAGCGCAGGCGGUUUUUUAAGUCUGAUGUGAAAGCCUUCGGCUCAACCGAAGAAGUGCAUCGGAAACUGGGAAACUUGAGUGCAGAAGAGGACAGUGGAACUCCAUGUGUAGCGGUGAAAUGCGUAGAUAUAUGGAAGAACACCAGUGGCGAAGGCGGCUGUCUGGUCUGUAACUGACGCUGAGGCUCGAAAGUAUGGGUAGCAAACAGGAUUAGAUACCCUGGUAGUCCAUACCGUAAACGAUGAAUGCUAAGUGUUGGAGGGUUUCCGCCCUUCAGUGCUGCAGCUAACGCAUAAGCAUCCGCUGGGAUACCCAAACGGU
rnacentral:rRNA from 2 species